rnacentral:misc_RNA from 1 species
GAUGAAGAACGCAGCGAAAUGCGAUAAGUAGUGUGAAUUGCAGAAUUCCGUGAAUCAUCGAAUCUUUGAACGCACAUUGCGCCUUCUGGUAUUCCGGAAGGCAUGCCUGUUCGAGAGUCAUUAACAACCGUUUCGAUCCCUUUCUUUCAGAAAUUACAAAGAGGAAAAGGGUUUGGUUAUGGUGGAGGAGGGAAAGGGAGCGUUUAGCCUGUAAAAAAAGAGGCUGUGUUCCGCCUCCCCCCCAAAAUUGUACAGGCGGUCGUGUGCGCCCACGCAUCGAGGUGUUGUAAAAGCUGCCACGGCACUUUUCACCUGUGCAGUGCGAGAUUGGCCAGCCGGUUUAAAAACCCCUCCAAACAAUCAAAGGUUGACCUCGGAUCAGGUAGGGAUACCCGCUGAACUUAAGCAUAUCAAAGCGGAGGA